AGCUCAGAUUGAACGCUGGCGGCAGGCCUAACACAUGCAAGUCGAGCGGAUGACGGGAGCUUGCUCCUUGAUUCAGCGGCGGACGGGUGAGUAAUGCCUAGGAAUCUGCCUGGUAGUGGGGGACAACGUUUCGAAAGGAACGCUAAUACCGCAUACGUCCUACGGGAGAAAGCAGGGGACCUUCGGGCCUUGCGCUAUCAGAUGAGCCUAGGUCGGAUUAGCUAGUUGGUGGGGUAAUGGCUCACCAAGGCGACGAUCCGUAACUGGUCUGAGAGGAUGAUCAGUCACACUGGAACUGAGACACGGUCCAGACUCCUACGGGAGGCAGCAGUGGGGAAUAUUGGACAAUGGGCGAAAGCCUGAUCCAGCCAUGCCGCGUGUGUGAAGAAGGUCUUCGGAUUGUAAAGCACUUUAAGUUGGGAGGAAGGGCAGUAAGUUAAUACCUUGCUGUUUUGACGUUACCGACAGAAUAAGCACCGGCUAACUCUGUGCCAGCAGCCGCGGUAAUACAGAGGGUGCAAGCGUUAAUCGGAAUUACUGGGCGUAAAGCGCGCGUAGGUGGUUCGUUAAGUUGGAUGUGAAAGCCCCGGGCUCAACCUGGGAACUGCAUCCAAAACUGGCGAGCUAGAGUACGGUAGAGGGUGGUGGAAUUUCCUGUGUAGCGGUGAAAUGCGUAGAUAUAGGAAGGAACACCAGUGGCGAAGGCGACCACCUGGACUGAUACUGACACUGAGUGCGAAA
rnacentral:rRNA from 1 species